AUCUGUGCUCAGUGCUGGGAAAUGCAGCUCCUGGGGCGAUGCCUGGCAGGGACACAGGAGCCCUGCUGGACAGUCAGCAGAGAGGGCACGUGCUCCCUUCUCCCUCCAGUGAUCCUCAGCUGCAAACUAACCAGGCAUCAGGGAGUUACUGCAGCUGUUCUGACACGGUACCACUGAGAUCAGGAGACUCCAGAAGUUAUAAUGGCACCAAAAGAGCUGCUAAAAUGUCUCCUGCCACCACUGAUGACCCGAAGUUUCCACUGUUCUGAAAGACAGGUAAUUCCCUCUCCCUGACUGAGGGCCAGCAGGGCACACCAGGAUGGGAAGUUGGUGCAGUGUUGUCCCUGGUUCACUGAACCAUUAAAGCAGGACCAACAUGGCACUGUGAACCCCCCCAAACUCUUCAGCUGCUGUGACACAUCAGCGAGCGCUCCCCUGCCACAGCAGUGGGAGAUGGAGAAGAGCAGAGGUCACUCGGGCUCUCACCUAGUGCCAGUGAAGGUUUACCUUCAAGAAUCCAUUUAUCAUACUCAGGAAAUCAUUCCGUGUAUGCUCAGAUGGCAGGAGGGACUGGAUGGGGUCAGUCUGUUUCAGGAAAAAUCUCAUUUGGAGUGAAAACCUUGUGACCCCAAAUUUUGUCUCCUGACCUCUGAAUAACAGUGAUAUUUUAUUCUUUCCCUGACUCUCUCUCUCUUUCAGUGACCUCUUUAAAAUCAUCGCUCCCCUGUGCCAGACAAAUCUACUCCUGUUGACCUUCCUUCUCGAGACCAUAUCCCCAAUCACUUCCUAAUUUUGUUGCUUGUCUCUGAAUUCUCUCCAAUUUGUCCAAAUGAAUGGCACUGGGGAGCUGCUUGGGAGUAGGAGAUAUUAGUUCAGGUUGUAGGGUGAUUGUUCACAUGAGAAGCUGUGGUAAUAUCUCAGGCUUUUACAUAAUGAAAAUGGAUUUAACUCUAUUUUCCCGUUAGAUCCUUGAUGAACUGAAUCUUAUGGCUGCACAAUAUUUUGUGUUUGAAAGGCAACAUUUAUCUGGACUUCCUAAAGCAAGGAAUUUAUUUUAACAGCAUGUCUCAUAGCACUGAAAUAUUACUUCUCCUACUACUAUUAUUUUACUAAUAUUACCACUACUACUGACAAUAAUAAUACCACUUAAUUGUUAAUGUGCCUUUCAUCUUCAGGAACAUCAAACUGCUUUACAGACUCCUCCACCCCGGAAAGCUUCGGAGCCCUCAGCACUGCCACACCGUGCUGUGGGGCAGGAGGAAACUUCCAUUUUGGUCGGUGACUGGAACGAUGAUGUCAGAGUGGAGUAUUCUGGAUUUCCAAAUUCCCUGUCACAAACUAGGAAUCAGCUAAUCAGAGGGACAGACAGGCUAAUUGCAGCAGAGAGAGCACUUCUAUUUAUUCCCGAGGAUCUUGUUAAUCAGCAAGAAUGGAAAAGGAAAUAGCAAAAAAUUACAUGGCAGUUAAGUGAGU